rnacentral:rRNA from 1 species
CAGGUUUGAUCAUGGCUCAGGAUGAACGCUAGCGGCAGGCCUAACACAUGCAAGUCGAGGGGCAUCGGGAUUGAAGCUUGCUUCAAUUGCCGGCGACCGGCGCACGGGUGCGUAACGCGUAUGUAACCUACCUAUAACAGGGGCAUAACACUGAGAAAUUGGUACUAAUUCCCCAUAAUAUUCGGAGAGGCAUCUCUCCGGGUUGAAAACUCCGGUGGUUAUAGAUGGACAUGCGUUGUAUUAGCUA